UCUUUCCAAAGAUUAGCCAAAUCCUUCUAUAUCUUGCAAAGGAUUUUCCUCUCUCUUCUCCACCCCAUUUUCGAUCUCUCUCCCUCUCCCUCAUCUCUCACUUCACUUCCACCAUUUUUCCUCCAUUGAUGAAACCUUCGAAGCUUCACCCAAGUAUGCCAAACACAUAAAUCACUACUUAAAUCCUCCAUAAACACAUCCUAUUAACUUGAAUUCAAGAGAAUCCUUGAAGGAAGGCUUCAAGACUAGAGAGAGAAAGUUUGAGUUUUGGUGAAGAACUUGAACACGAGCAGAGCAAGGAAGUAAGUAACUCCACUUUGACGGGAGUUUUUGAGUAAGGUCUUCAGGCUAAGCGAGGAGUGAGAUUGGUCUGGUGCUGGUGGGGGAUCGUUAGAUGACGUAUUUGCUUUAUCGUAUUUCCUUUUUAUCGAUAAAGUCUCGAUGUGAAGUUACCUUGUAUAUGAAUCAAGUAAUAUACUCACGGUUAUGUGUCUCCAUACAUGUAACUGGUUCACCUUUUGCUGCGAUACUCUGCAUAUUAUGUUUCCUUAUGAAAAAUAAGCUAUACCUGUUUUGUUU